GAUGAAGAACGCAGCAAAAUGCGAUACGUAAUGUGAAUUGCAGAAUUCAGUGAAUCAUCGAAUCUUUGAACGCACAUUGCGCCCGCCAGCACUCUGGCGGGCAUGCCUGUUCGAGCGUCAUUUCAACCAUCAAGCCCCAGGCUUGCGUUGGAGCCCUGCGGCUGCCGCAGCCUCCUAAAAGCAGUGGCGGGCUCGCUAUCACACCGAGUGCAGUAGAUUACUCUUCGCUCAGGGCGUGCAGCGGGUUCCGGCCGUGAAACCCCCUACUUUUAAAGGUUGACCUCGGAUCAGGUAGGAAUACCCGCUGAACUUAAGCAUAUCAAUAAGCGGAGGA
rnacentral:misc_RNA from 1 species